UUGAUACAUGCAAGUCGAGCGCAUCCUUCGGGAUGAGCGGCGGACGGGUGAGUAACGCGUGGGGAUGUGCCCUUCUCUACGGAAUAGCCACUGGAAACGGUGAGUAAUACCGUAUACGCCCUCAGGGGGAAAGAUUUAUCGGAGAAGGAUCAGCCCGCGUUAGAUUAGGUAGUUGGUGGGGUAACGGCCUACCAAGCCUACGAUCUAUAGCUGGUUUUAGAGGAUGAUCAGCCACACUGGGACUGAGACACGGCCCAGACUCCUACGGGAGGCAGCAGUAGGGAAUCUUGGACAAUGGGGGCAACCCUGAUCCAGCCAUGCCGCGUGAGUGAAGAAGGCCCUAGGGUCGUAAAGCUCUUUCGCCUGUGAUGAUAAUGACAGUAGCAGGUAAAGAAACCCCGGCUAACUCCGUGCCAGCAGCCGCGGGUAAUACGGAGGGGGUUAGCGUUGUUCGGAAUUACUGGGCGUAAAGCGCGCGUAGGCGGAUUGGAAAGUUGGGGGUGAAAUCCCGGGCUCAACCCCGGAACUGCCUUCAAAACUCCCAGUCUAGAGUUCGAGAGAGGUGAGUGGAAUUCCGAGUGUAGAGGUGAAAUUCGUANAUUUUCG
rnacentral:rRNA from 1 species